ACAUGCAAGUCGUGCGAGAAAGGGGGCUUCGGCCCCCUAGUACAGCGGCGAACGGGUGCGUAACACGUGGGCAACCUGCCUAUCAGCUUUGGGAUAAAGCUCUCGAAAGGGGGGUCUAAUACCGAAUGAUACCCAGAGGAGACAUCUCUUUUUGGUUCAAAGACGGUGCAAGCCGUCGCUGAUAGAUGGGCCCGCGCCCCAUUAGCUUGUUGGUAGGGUAACGGCCUACCAAGGCUCCGAUGGGUAGCCGACCUGAGAGGGUGACCGGCCACACUGGGACUGAGAUACGGCCCAGACUCCUACGGGAGGCAGCAGUAGGGAAUAUUGCGCAAUGGAGGCAACUCUGACGCAGCAACGCCGCGUGGAUGAUGAAGCUCUUUGGAGUGUAAAGUCCUGUCGCCAGGGAAGAAACGGUGGACGAGGAAAUGCGUCUGCCCUGACGGUACCUGGAGAGGAAGUUCCGGCUAACUCCGUGCCAGCAGCCGCGGUAA
rnacentral:rRNA from 1 species